GUGAAAUCCUAAGGAUUUGUGAUCUCCAGGAAUUACAGGAUGUCCACAUGAAACGCAAUGCAGCCCUUCGAGCCCUCCCAUUAUACCUGCGUGAGGAGGACCCACAGUUCUUCAAGUCUUGGAGCGCAGAGGAGGUGGACCGGCCAGACAUCACCAACACACCGGUUGCUAUUGUCAGCAUGGUCAC